rnacentral:rRNA from 1 species
CGGAAAGGCCCUUCGGGGUACUCGAGCGGCGAACGGGUGAGUAACACGUGAGUAACCUGCCCCUGACUCUGGGAUAAGCCCGGGAAACUGGGUCUAAUACCGGAUACGACCACUCCACGCAUGUGGUGGUGGUGGAAAGUUUUUUCGGUUGGGGAUGGGCUCGCGGCCUAUCAGCUUGUUGGUGGGGUAGUGGCCUACCAAGGCGACGACGGGUAGCCGGCCUGAGAGGGCGACCGGCCACACUGGGACUGAGACACGGCCCAGACUCCUACGGGAGGCAGCAGUGGGGAAUCUUGCGCAAUGGGCGAAAGCCUGACGCAGCGACGCCGCGUGGGGGAUGACGGCCUUCGGGUUGUAAACCUCUUUCAGCAGGGACGAAGGUGACGUGUACCUGCAGAAGAAGCGCCGGCUAACUACGUGCCAGCAGCCGGGGGUAAUUCCA